rnacentral:rRNA from 1 species
UACGUAGGGUGCAAGCGUUAAUCGGAAUUACUGGGCGUAAAGGGCGCGUAGGCGGACAGUUUAGUCAGAGGUGAAAGCCCAGGGCUCAACCUUGGAAUUGCCUUUGAUACUGGCUGUCUUGAGUUCGGGAGAGGUGAGUGGAAUGCCGAGUGUAGAGGUGAAAUUCGUAGAUAUUCGGCGGAACACCAGUGGCGAAGGCGACUCACUGGCCCGAUACUGACGCUGAGGCGCGAAAGCGUGGGGAGCAAACAGG